GCAAAAAUGAAAGAAAUACUAUUAGUAAAAAUGACAAUGCAUUGUUGUGUUGCAAAAGGACACAACCACUGCCCUCAGCUGAAAUUACUUCUACCCGAGUCACAAUUAAUGAAGUGUCAGUAAUAAAGACAUCCCUCCAUUUAUUUUUGGGAUACGUGCUUAUUUUAACUUCUAGCUUCUAUCUAAAGUGAAGUGACAAAUAAAAAUUCUUGAAGACAA